rnacentral:lncRNA from 13 species
AUGCAUGAAAGACAAGCAAAAGAUUUUCCUUAUUUUCAUCCUCAGUCCAUCAUUCCAAUGAUUUGGAUGGUGCCAGGAUGGUGUCGGUCCAAUAGCGGUGGGUACUGGGAACUUCCCAGUAGUGUGAAAGUACCAGGUGAGAGAGGCAGGAAGGAACGGAAGAUAGAGGAUAGACAAUUCCUUGGUGGAAUUGGGGGGGGGUAGACUGGUAAGCGCCGGAGGAGAGGGGAAUGUUGUGGUGGGUUAGAGAGAGGAGGGGUGAGGGUUAGAGGGACUGGUGAGGAGGGCGGAUGAUGAGGGAUUGCAGAGGUGCCUGGCAGUCAGUAAGUCUUAUUGCAGCAGCAGCAAGCCGAGUCUGUGUCUGUCUGUCCCUUCUCACACUGUCGAAAUCAAUUUCGUAACUGUUCCCCCUUCAGAACUGUGGAACAAAGAGAAGGAGAAGCUUCCAGGUAUCUACAGUAUAUAGGCACUCAGAGAAACAACAGUGGCGCAACACAACCACAGCCAAAAAACACUCGGCCAAUCAACAGGCAUUUAGUUUGGCCAAUUUUGGCGCAGGGUCCCAUGUUGCUGCCUCCGUCUGAACAAUCCUUUCAUCCAUUCAUGAUGAGUAUUUGAAUAUCAUAGUAUUUCAUACAGUUAAGAUAACCCUUUCCCCAGAUAUAUAAAAAGGAAAAGACCGUAAAAUGCUAAUUUCAUGUCUUCAAUCUAAUUUCUCUGAUAUGCUACAACAAAUGAACUGACGGCCUUUUCACAUUCAACGUUUACUGCAGACCUGAGUUCAAAUAGCAUAGAAAACACCUGCUAUAUGGACCCAGGUCUAGUGUACUGUAGCCUAUAUACAUGGACACAGAGCAUGGUGUGGGCAGCAGCGCAGAAGGGAUAGUAACAAUAAGUAGCUAGGAGGGGAGUGUUCAAGCCUGAGGCUUUUCCCCAAAAUCAAAUGUAUACUAGCCUAAAUGACACGUAACAAUAAAAAGCAAAAAGCAACAAAGUAAUAGGAUAAAACACUGAGGAAAAAUAUUUAUUUGACCACCUAGGAACGGUAUAAGGUGAUUCCCAUUGGUCCAACAUGGGUUGAGGUGGACCAACAUUGGGUUUUUGGGCAAACCAACCUUUCUGUCCCACAUGAUGUCACAUAAUCAUGAUAAAAUCAUAGCUACGUCUCGUCAUCAAAUAAAUAAAUACAUAAAAAUCAGGGGGAAAAAAACAGAAACACAGAAAAAUAAACCAUUAAAAUGAUAUGGCAAUUAACACAACAAAAACCUGAUAUGUCCUGGUUUGUAGUUCGAUAGUUUGUUGGAACUCCUAUCAGGGGAAUACUUAAGGACACUAAUUACUUGUAGUGUUUGCAAGUCCAUGAAAUCAUAUCCAAUCUAUCUAGCCUGGUGCCACCCGGCCAAACCUUAUCAAUUCAGUAUCACAACUGAGUAUUUUUUUUAUCUAUAGAGAAAAAAAGAAGUGUGCCUUACCUCUUAGGAAAACAUUGCUCAUACUGUUCAAGUCCUUGCUGUGGAGACAAAGAAAAAACAAACACUUUUCAGUCAUCAAGUCAUUGGCACUUUUGUGUCACAUUAGAAAGUUGAGAAUACAUGAUAAAUAGUACUGCUUGAUUGGCAAUCCAAAACUGUAUCAAUUGAAUUGCUGGAGAUAUUGUCAGUAGUAGUUUGUGGUCGUGUCUGGCUUUUGAUUCAGCUUCAGAGUGUUCAAUGGUCACAUGUACAGGGUUGCAGGUGUGACUGCAGGGUACAGUGUUUUAAUAGUCACAUGUACAGGGUUGCAGGUGUGACUGCAGGGUACAGUGUUUAAUGGUCACAUGUACAGGGUUGCAGGUGUGACUGCAGGGUACAGUGUUUUAAUAGUCACAUGUACAGGGUUGCAGGUGUGACUGCAGGGUACAGUGUUUUAAUAUUCACAUGUACAGGGUNNNNNNNNNNCAAGGUUUUCCCCUGGUGGAAUUGGGGGGGGGUAGACUGGUAAGCGCCGGAGGAGAGGGGAAUGUUGUGGUGGGUUAGAGAGAGGAGGGGUGAGGGUUAGAGGGACUGGUGAGGAGGGCGGAUGAUGAGGGAUUGCAGAGGUGCCUGGCAGUCAGUAAGUCUUAUUGCAGCAGCAGCAAGCCGAGUCUGUGUCUGUCUGUCCCUUCUCACACUGUCGAAAUCAAUUUCGUAACUGUUCCCCCUUCAGAACUGUGGAACAAAGAGAAGGAGAAGCUUCCAGGUAUCUACAGUAUAUAGGCACUCAGAGAAACAACAGUGGCGCAACACAACCACAGCCAAAAAACACUCGGCCAAUC